rnacentral:lncRNA from 1 species
UCUCCGCUGACACACAACAAAAACAUGCUGGCCAAAGUGGAUGAGGUGAAGUUCACAAUCAACACCCAAAUGAAGAAGGUGCUAUGUCUGGCUGUGGCUGUCAGCCACGUGAAGAUGACAGACGAUGUUACACACAGACGAUGUGUGUAACAUUCACCUGGCUGUAAACUUCCUGAUGUCACUGCUCACGGAAAACCGGCAGAAUGUCCGGCCCUUAUAUAACAAGAGCACCACCGGCAAGCCCUAGCACCUGUAUUAA